rnacentral:lncRNA from 1 species
CUGGUGGCUGCAUGCACCGGACUUGGCACUAAAUUGGCUUGUCCCUAGGGAAUGAGAGUGGGAAAUUGAAGCUACCUGCUGAUCUAGACGUACAACUCUCAGCUUUUCUCCAUCACCGUGUCUGCCUACAUGGCACCAUGAUUCCACCAUGAUGAUAAUGGACUGAACCUCUGAACUGUAAGCCAGCUCCAGAGUGCUGCAUGGGACAUCUCUUGACUCACUCCAGGCUCAGGACUGACAAGAUCACAAUAUGGAGAACGGAAGGGAGGAAGCCUCAAGCACUAACCCUUAGAGCAUAGAAAGCACACCACUGUGAUGAGAUAUACAGAAGAAGGCCCCAGAGGCACAGCACCCAGAAAACUAAAGAGCUGGAUUCUAUUUCCUAAUAAUAUAUGGUGAGCUAAGCUGAGCAGAGCCUCGGGACAGAGGCGAAGCAUAUAUGACUACACGGACGGUAGACAACAUCGAGGAAUGAGUCUAGGAUGAAGGGCUCCUGUGAAGAAGAGAGGUGACUGUCUGCCAUGACACCAUCACAUCUCCUGUCAGUCCCAGGGGCCUACACAUUCCUGACAGGAUGUCAC